GUCUCUGCGCGGAAAAUUUAACGGGGCUAAGAUACAAACCGAAGCUUAGGCUGCACGAAAGUGCGGGGUAGGGGAGCGUUGUGUAAGCGGAGAAACAGUAGCGUAAGCGGCUGUGGAGUUUACAGAAGUGAGAAUGCCGGAAUGAGUAGCGCGAAUGUGGUGAGAAUCCACAUGGCCGGAAACCUCAGGUUUUUGGAGGAAGGUUCGUCCGCUCCAAGUUAGGCGGGAGCUAAGGUCAGGCCGAAAGGCGUAGCCGAUGCACAGACGGUAGAGAUUCCGUCCCCACCGAAAGAUUUAAGCACAGGGACACUUUUUGAAGGUCGGAGCCAGGUGUUGGUUCUGGUAGUGAUCGAGGGAAAUAUAGUACCGAAGUCCGGCUGGAAGAGAGGCGAGAAAAGCUGUGUGUAUAUCUAAGGUGCCCGUACCGCAAACCGACACAGGUAGGUAGGAAGAAGAUUCUAAGGCCAACGGGAGAAGGGUUGUUAAGGAACUCGGCAAGUUGACCCCGUAACUUCGGAAUAAGGGGUGCUCACGAGAGUGAGCCGCAGAGAAUAGGCCCAGGCAACUGUUUACCAAAAACACAGGUUUGUGCUAAAUCGAAAGAUGACGUAUACGAGCUGACGCCUGCCCGGUGCUGGAAGGUUAAAAGGAGAUGUGCAAGCAUUGAAUUGAAGCCCCAGUGAACGGCGGCCGUAACUAUAACGGUCCUAAGGUAGCGAAAUUCCUUGUCAGGUAAGUUCUGACCCGCAUGAAAGGCGUAAUGAUCUGGGCACUGUCUCAACAGCCCGCCCGGCGAAAUUGUAGUACCGGUGAAGAUGCCGGUUACCCGCGACAAGACGGAAAGACCCCAUGGAGCUUUACUGUAGCCUGAUAUUGGGUUUCGGUGUUGCAUGCACAGGAUAGAUGGGACACUGGGAAGCGGAUGCUUUGGCGUUCGUGGAGUGGACGUUGGGAUACCAUCCUUGCGACAUUGGAAUUCUAACCUGCGCCUCUGAAUCGAGGCGGGGGACAUUGUCAGGUGGGCAGUUUGACUGGGGCGGUCGCCUCCUAAAAAGUAGCGGAGGCGUUCAAAGGUUCGUUCGAUCUGGACGGAAACCAGAUGAUUGAGUGCAAACGCAUAAACGAGCCUGACUGCGAGACUGACGGGUCGAGCAGAGACGAAAGUCGGAGUUAGUGAUCCGGUGGUAUGUGAGUGGAAAUGCCAUCGCUCAACGGAUAAAA
rnacentral:rRNA from 1 species